GACGAACGCUGGCGGCAUGCCUAAUACAUGCAAGUCGAGCGAACAGAUGAAGUGCCUGCACUUCUGACGUUAGCGGCGAACGGGUGAGUAACACGUAAGGAAUCUACCUAUAAGCGGGGGAUAACAUUCGGAAACGGGUGCUAAUACCGCAUAAUAUCUUCUUCCGCAUGGAAGAAGAUUGAAAGACGGCUCUGCUGUCACUUAUAGAUGACCUUGCGGUGCAUUAGUUAGUUGGUGGGGUAACGGCCUACCAAGACGAUGAUGCAUAGCCGACCUGAGAGGAUGAUCGGACACAUUGGGACUGGGACGCGGCCCAAACUCCUACGGGAGGCAGCAGUAGGGAAUCUUCCGCAAUGGGCGAAAGCCUGACGGAGCAAUGCCGCGUGAGUGAAGAAGGCCUUCGGGUCGUAAAACUCUGUUAUAAGAGAAGAACAAAUUGUAGAGUAACUGCUACAGUCUUGACGGUAUCUUAUCAGAAAGCCACGGCUAACUACGUGCCAGCCGCCGCGGUAA
rnacentral:rRNA from 1 species